rfam:Gasterosteus aculeatus cont1.008850, whole genome shotgun sequence.
UAAACGGCUCUUUUAAGAGCCACCAACAUGUUAUUAUUGACCAAA